rnacentral:rRNA from 1 species
AGAGUUUGAUCCUGGCUCAGGAUGAACGCUGGCGGCGUGCCUAAUACAUGCAAGUCGAACGCUUCACUUCGGUGAAGAGUGGCGAACGGGUGAGUAAUACAUAAGUAACCUGGCAUCUACAGGGGGAUAACUGAUGGAAACGUCAGCUAAGACCGCAUAGGUGUAGAGAUCGCAUGAACUCUAUAUGAAAAGUGCUACGGGACUGGUAGAUGAUGGACUUAUGGCGCAUUAGCUGGUUGGUAGGGUAACGGCCUACCAAGGCGACGAUGCGUAGCCGACCUGAGAGGGUGACCGGCCACACUGGGACUGAGACACGGCCCAGACUCCUACGGGAGGCAGCAGUAGGGAAUCUUCGGCAAUGGGGGCAACCCUGACCGAGCAACGCCGCGUGAGUGAAGAAGGUUUUCGGAUCGUAAAGCUCUGUUGUAAGUCAAGAACGAGUGUGAGAGUGGAAAGUUCACACUGUGACGGUAGCUUACCAGAAAGGGACGGCUAACUACGUGCCAGCAGCCGCGGUAAUACGUAGGUCCCGAGCGUUGUCCGGAUUUAUUGGGCGUAAAGCGAGCGCAGGCGGUUUGAUAAGUCUGAAGUUAAAGGCUGUGGCUCAACCAUAGUUCGCUUUGGAAACUGUCAAACUUGAGUGCAGAAGGGGAGAGUGGAAUUCCAUGUGUAGCGGUGAAAUGCGUAGAUAUAUGGAGGAACACCGGUGGCGAAAGCGGCUCUCUGGUCUGUAACUGACGCUGAGGCUCGAAAGCGUGGGGAGCGAACAGGAUUAGAUACCCUGGUAGUCCACGCCGUAAACGAUGAGUGCUAGGUGUCGGGGAGGAAUCCUCGGUGCCGCAGCUAACGCAAUAAGCACUCCACCUGGGGAGUACGACCGCAAGGUUGAAACUCAAAGGAAUUGACGGGGGCCCGCACAAGCGGUGGAGCAUGUGGUUUA